rnacentral:misc_RNA from 1 species
GGAGCAGAGCUUUGCAUGGGAACAUGCAGCAGUUUCAAAGGGACAGAACACUUGCUGCUUUCCGCAGCGGCCAGUUCAGUGUCCUGGUUGCUACAGAUGUUGCCGCACGUGGUCUUGAUAUUCCGAAUGUUGACCUGAUUAUUCAUUUCGAACUUCCGAAUACAAGUGAGACUUUCAUUCAUCGAUCUGGUCGAACUGGCCGUGCCGGAAACAAGGGAACGGCAGUUCUAAUGUUCAAUGAAGGUCAACGCCGUGAUGUCAGGUCCAUCGAGCGGGAUCUAAGCUGCAAAUUUGAAGAGCUGCGAGGACUUACUGGUAGUUUCGUUGGCAAGACGGACAUGUCAGAUGAUGAAGGUGGCUCUUAUAGGGGUUAUGGUGGUCCAGCCGUGCAGAACCCUGGCCAAAUGAAUCAAAAUUCUGAGCGCCGUUACGGCAAUUAUGGUGGGUCUCAACAAUCUCGUACCUCCAGAUAUUCCGGUGGAGGUGGAGACAGAUUCAGUGGAGGCGGAGAUAGAUUUAGAUACUCUGGUGGACGUGGAGACAGAUUUAGUGGUGGUGGUGGAGAUAGAUUUAGUGGCUCCGACCGAUCCAGAAAUAACUAUUCUCCUCGGAGAUCUGAGCCCAGGCAAGGUGGUUAUUCUCAGACCAGAAGAGAUCAGUAUGAAUCGUAUGACGACUUUGAGGACAACAAUUUCAGUGAGAGGCGUACAGAUUCUGGCAGCUCUCGGUGGUCUUCGUCAGCACCUACGACACCACGGCGUCAGACCAGUCGGCAACCAGGAAUGAACCGGAAAGCGCCUUCUAGAAGUGGUCCGAACGAUUAUGAUGAUUUACUUGAUUUGUUUAAGGGUCAAUACUAAAUGGAAUGAUCCAUGUAUCUACUGGUUAUGCGUAUGGUCGCACUAAUGACAGAUUAUGGGUAUUUUGAGGCAUUUGAAGUUGGUC